CAUCUGUUGUUGUCCUCUUACUGCUAGACAUGACUUCAGCACCAAGGUGAUUCAUCUGUUGUUGUCCUCUUACUGAUAGACAUGACUUCACCACUAAGGUGAUUCAUCUGUUGACUCGAACUCACUCAUGAGACAACGCACAUGGCAAACAAAUCAAGCUUUUGGCAAAGGGUAACACAAAACUCCCCUCUCUAAAAAGGAAAUCAUAAUUAGUAACUGAAAACACCUGAUUGUCAUUAUAGUCUCGAGGGCGAUCUCUGCCACCUUCUGGUGACAGGCGGAACAAUGACAGUACCUAUUCUAGUAUUCUAGGAGCAUCUUCACACGCUGAGCUGGGACAACCGCCACGUAGUUGGUUGAAGUCCCGAACAAGGCCCGGGUCCAGAAUGUCCCAGGCAGGCACCCAUGCCCACUCCUCUGGGCCGUAACACUCCCAGUCCACCAGGUACUGCAGGUUGCCCCGGACCCAACGAACCUUUAGCAGACGCCGGGCGGCUGUCAACCGGUCGAGGGAGCGGAGGGGCCGGUGUAGUAGGGAGAAGGACUGGUCCUUACCAACUUGAGACAGGAUUGCUGAGGCUCAAGCUCUUGAGCACUUUUAAUAAUGUGAAAUGUCAGAAUAAUAGUAGAGAG
rnacentral:lncRNA from 1 species